UAAUUCUUCACAAACCUAGUUUUUUUAUGGUAGAAUGUACACAAACCACUUCUAAAUUUGCAAUGGAGUGAGUGACUAGUGAGUGAGUAAGCUAGAGAAUGAUUCGGGCUUACAUCGACUGUAAUCAAGUUAAUAGGCCCAUAUUUACUUAUUUUAGCAAUAAAAUUAUUUUAAUUUAUUUUACCGGAGAGGGAGGAAAAAAAAAAGAAGAGAAGAUAUGGUAGGCGGACGCGGCGGAGCUGGUGGUUGUGGUAACAGAGCGGUGGCGGAUCGAUGGCUUGUUACAUCGGAGAAGCUUCUAGCGUCUAGUGAUCUUCAAGGAGCGAAGACAUUUGCGAUCCGCGCAUGCGAAGCUGACCCGACCCGAGCAGAAGCUGCUGACUAUAUCCUCGCAAUCUGCGACAUUCUUCUCGCCGGAGAAACCCGUUUAGGUCAUUCCAACUUGCCUGACUGGUACGCCGUGCUCCGACUCGGUCGUUUAGCUCAAAACCCUGAACACGUCGCCACCCAGUACCGUAGACUCGCUCUCCUCCUCAACCCUUCCGUUAAUCGCCUCCCUUUCGCCGAUCGGGCUUUCAAAACCGUCUCUGAUGCUUGGUUCGUUCUCUCUGAUCCGUCUAGGAAGUCAUUGUACGACCGCGAAUUGCAACUGAGUCAACUCGGCCAAUCUGGUUUCAAUCCCCAAACCCAAACGCAUCAACAAUUUCAGUGGAACCCUAGCAAUUGCACCAACGCAGCACAAGAGCAGCCUUGGCCGCAGAGCCAGGCUAGGACCUCGACUGAUCCUAUGGCCACGAGCUUCUGGACCGCUUGCCCUUACUGCUUUGUGCUCUUUGAGUACCCUAAGGCUUACGAGGAAUGCACUUUGAAAUGUCAAGAAUGUAGAAGAGCGUUUCAAGCUGUGACUAUACCAAAACCUCCGGUGGAAGGGAAAGACCACGAAGAUGUUUACUUUUGCUCAUGGGCUUUGUUUCCAUUAGGGUUUUCCGGUGAGUUUAAAGCCCCGAGUUGGUCACCUAUUUCACCUCUCUUUGCUUGCCCUCUGCAAAGGGUGGAUGAUGAUGAAUCAUCCUUGAAGAAGAGAAAGGAACCGGCUGCUCCUAGGAUUUAUUAUGACGAUGAUGACAUAUAUGUUGCGAUUUCCGAUGAAGAUGGCGCUGGUAAUGAUGAUGAUGAUGAUGAUGGUGAUUGGCAAAAUGGGGCACAAGGGAAUAAGAAGGCGAAUGUUGGGAAAGGGAAAGAAACAUUGGUGAGAAGUGACAAGAGACAUGGAGUUGAGAAAGUCCAAAAUGUAGAAAGUAUCCGUAGUGCUAGCAAUCCUGCCUCUUCGUUUGCUGGGGCUGUUGGUUCCUCAUCUGGGGUUAUGUCUAAACCAGUGAAUUACAUUACUAGAAAACGAAUGGGAACAGGAGCUAAGAACCUGGGGAGGUUGGAUUUGAAUGUGGAGUUCAGUAAUGAAGUGGAAGAGCCUGCUGUGGUAGGUGGGAGAAACGAAGGCAAUGGGGUGGGAAGUAACAGGGAGGUAGAUAAUAUGGAAGGGAUUGGGUUCUUUGAGGGGCUUGAUGAAUUCUUGAAUAGUUUGCCCAUACUUUCUGUUGUUGGAGAUGAUAAGAUCAAGGCUACUUAGUGAAUGGAAAUACUGGCAUUUUGAUUCCUUGGAAUCACUGUAGUUGGAAUCUGUUGAUGUUAUUUUGGCCCAAAAUUCGGAUGUUUGCUUCCCUUUCUGGUUUCUUUUGUUGCACAAGAAUUAUGUUCCUCCAACUCAAAAGGCCAUAGUGCAAAAUAUAGGUGUUUACAUGUUGUGGUUGCUGCUUCUGUCGGUGUUCAUUCACUAGAGACAUUUUUGAGUUCUUUGCUUUCUGGACCGACAAAUGAAGAGGUAAAGUGACGACACACACAUUGCUUGCUUUUUUCAUCCUCUUUGUCUAUGCUUUGUAAGGUAAGGAAAACAAGUAAGUUAUUAAGCUCUUUGUUGAUAAUUUCUUGCUGGGGUCUAAGGUAAAGACCUAAAUGGCUUUGUAGUGACUCAAGGUAAAGACCUAAAUGGCUAUGUAGUGACUCUUUCUGUGUAAUCAUUGUAGCUAGGUAUUUAUCUCUUACCUGUAAAUCUGUAAUGAGAAUAUGCAGAAACAAGAAGAUACAGAAGCUAUUCAAGAAUGCGCUAUGUGCAUGUUAUUUGGGCUUAUACACGCUCUAGCUGUGCUCCAGUGAAGUAUCUAUUGUCUUUAUUGAUAAAAAAGCUUGUUGAAGCCAUCAAUGACGAACCUCUCUAGGCUAGGCUCUAAGCUAUUUCUGUACUAUCUGUUUUUCUCUAAUUGUGAUGAAGACAGGUUCGUUUUAUCUAUCUUGCCUUGUCUUCUUGACCAUUGUUUCUUACUUAUUAAUAACAUACAGAAGUUGUUUUCGAACAUAAGCUGACGAUCGGUCGUCCUGGCUCUGGCUUGAAUUUGAAUCCGGAUGUCAAAAACAGAUAUCGGUAGUAUUUGGGCUCGAUUCUG